UACGUAGGGGGCAAGCGUUGUCCGGAAUCAUUGGGCGUAAAGAGCGUGUAGGCGGUCCGGUAAGUCGGCUGUGAAAGUCCAGGGCUCAACCCUGGGAUGCCGGUCGAUACUGCCGGACUAGAGUUCGGAAGAGGCGAGUGGAAUUCCCGGUGUAGCGGUGAAAUGCGCAGGUAUCGGGAGGAACACCUAUGGCGAAGGCAGCUCGCUGGGACGUUACUGACGCUGAGACGCGAAAGCGUGGGGAGCAAACAGG
rnacentral:rRNA from 1 species